CCCAAUUAAGCUUCUUUUAAUUUAAUUUUGAUAGAGAGAGGCUCCAUGUAUCACUCUGUAUUUUUAACUGCCAUGACAUACCUCAAGAUAGUUUUUAUGUUAUUAUUUUCUCUUAUUCUUUAAUUAACGAUUGUCCUUAAUACCAAUUUGUGGGCUAAAGUGGUUAAUUUCUUUCAUUUUUUUUUAUUAAUAGGUGAUAACCACUUUGUUUUAUGGUACUUAAUUCUGAUAUUUUUUUUCAAGAUUCUCCUGAUGGUAAAUUUCCAGUUGCUUCAAGACUGGAUAGUGUGCAUUGCGUUUGUUGUCUCCCAGUAUGACCAUUGCUGAAUCAGGAGUCUCAACAAUUAAACUGUUACACGUGAGAGAGGGAACAUAAGUAUAAUAUGAUUCUGAACCAUUGGAGCCAAUAAGAAAAAUGACUGAUUUGAGCUUUAUUUGUAGAAAUGAAGUCAUGCUUGCAUGUGUAUACUUUAACGCACUUUAGUCUAUGACCUAAAUGUUCUUUAAUGCUACUAUAUUCUGCAUGCCAACAUCAGCAUGAAUGUCAGCAAAGUCCACGGAACACGGUGCCACCAGCACUUGUAGAGCCUUAUCAGAGAUACGCUUUCUCAUAAUUGUUCAUAACAAGCAUUGAGCAGUCCCCACAAAACAGCUAUCAGAUUCACCAAAUUAGAUAGCACAUCUGUUCUGUUAUUUUAGUAUAUAAAAGAACAUUUGUGACAUGUUUGUAAGUUGUAAAUAAUAGCUACAGUAUCAUACCAUAUUUAUCUAAGACUUUAGAGACCAAUUCUUUUCUAGAGUGAAACUGUCGAUUAAUGGUUUCUAAGAAAACUGAAUUCUUUGGCUCUUAAAUGUGGGAAAAUGUUACAUAGGGGUAUAAUCUGUUAAUAUAAACUUUAUUUAUGCCAAGAUUUUUUUUAACAUUAGAAAAAUAAUGGAAGUUGGUUAGACCAAAGUUUGCUCUUACAAGAAUGCUGUUUGUCAGCUUCUGAAUACCCUUGUAAGUCUAUGGUCCUCAAGAGUAUCUGGUUGACGGGAUGAAGUUUUGCAAAAAUAAAGCACCACUGCAGUCAUGUCUAGGGUCUGGAGGAAGCAAAAUAGACUAAGU
rnacentral:lncRNA from 1 species